rnacentral:tRNA from 1 species
GGUCGCGCUGGCGCUGUGGCGGGAGACGCGCUUCGGCCGCGGCGACGCGGGCACCUCGUCCGGCCAGUUCGAACCCGGGUACGACCGC